rnacentral:rRNA from 1 species
ACAGCAGCAGCCGCGGGAAUACGUAGGGUGCAAGCGUUAAUCGGAAUUACUGGGCGUAAAGCGUGCGCAGGCGGUUAUAUAAGACAGAUGUGAAAUCCCCGGGCUCAACCUGGGAACUGCAUUUGUGACUGUAUAGCUAGAGUACGGCAGAGGGGGAUGGAAUUCCGGGUGUAGCAGUGAAAUGCGUAGAUAUGCGGAGGAACACCGAUGGCGAAGGCAAUCACCUGGGCCUGUACUGACGCUCAUGCACGAAAGCGUGGGGAGCAAACAGGAUUAGAGACCCCAGUAGUCCCUGUCUCUUAUAC